AGCAUAGUGCAGUGGCGAUAUCAUAGCCAAUGAGAUUUUACCGAGGUGCUAUUAUUGCUAGUUGAAAAAAUAUCCUAUUUAAUAGUGAAUCAUGUUUUCUACGAGGAUUUCGGAACAGUUUUUUUUUUCUGAUAA